UACGGGGGGAGCAAGCGUUGUUCGGAUUUACUGGGCGUAAAGGGCGCGUAGGCGGUCAGCACAAGUCAGUUGUGAAAUCUCCGGGCUUAACUCGGAAAGGUCAACUGAUACUGUGCGACUAGAGUGCGGAAGGGGCAACUGGAAUUCUCGGUGUAGCGGUGAAAUGCGUAGAUAUCGAGAGGAACACCAGCGGCGAAGGCGGCGCUCUGGGCCGGAACUGACGCUGAGGAGCGAAAGCGUGGGUAGCAAACAGG
rnacentral:rRNA from 1 species